rnacentral:rRNA from 1 species
AGGAUGAUCGCUGGCGGCGUGCCUAACACAUGCAAGUCGAGCGAUCUUCUUCGGAAGAGAGCGGCGGACGGGUGAGUAACGCGUGGGUAACCUGCCCUGUACACACGGAUAACAUACCGAAAGGUAUGCUAAUACGGGAUAACAUAUGAGAGUCACAUGACUUUCAUAUCAAAGCUUUUGUGGUACAGGAUGGACCCGCGUCUGAUUAGCCAGUUGGUAAGGUAACGGCUUACCAAGGCGACGAUCAGUAGCCGACCUGAGAGGGUGAUCGGCCACACUGGAACUGAGACACGGUCCAGACUCCUACGGGAGGCAGCAGUGGGGAAUAUUGCACAAUGGGCGAAAGCCUGAUGCAGCAACGCCGCGUGAGCGAUGAAGGCCUUCGGGUCGUAAAGCUCUGUCCUCAAGGAAGAUAAUGACGGUACUUGAGGAGGAAGCCCCGGCUAACUACGUGCCAGCAGCCGCGGUAAUACGUAGGGGGCUAGCGUUAUCCGGAAUUACUGGGCGUAAAGGGUGCGUAGGUGGUUUUUUAAGUCAGAAGUGAAAGGCUACGGCUCAACCGUAGUAAGCUUUUGAAACUAAAGAACUUGAGUGCAGGAGAGGAGAGUAGAAUUCCUAGUGUAGCGGUGAAAUGCGUAGAUAUUAGGAGGAAUACCAGUAGCGAAGGCGGCUCUCUGGACUGUAACUGACACUGAGGCACGAAAGCGUGGGGAGCAAACAGGAUUAGAUACCCUGGUAGUCCACGCCGUAAACGAUGAGUACUAGGUGUCGGGGGUUACCCCCCUCGGUGCCGCAGCUAACGCAUUAAGUACUCCGCCUGGGAAGUACGCUCGCAAGAGUGAAA